rnacentral:rRNA from 1 species
GCAAGUAGAACGCUGAGAACUGGUGCUUGCACCGGUUCAAGGAGUUGCGAACGGGUGAGUAACGCGUAGGUAACCUACCUCAUAGCGGGGGAUAACUAUUGGAAACGAUAGCUAAUACCGCAUAAGAGAGACUAACGCAUGUUAGUAAUUUAAAAGGGGCAAUUGCUCCACUAUGAGAUGGACCUGCGUUGUAUUAGCUAGUUGGUGAGGUAAAGGCUCACCAAGGCGACGAGUCAUAGCCGACCUGAGACGGUGAUCGGCCACACUGGGACUGAGACACGGCCCAGACUCCUACGGGAGGCAGCACUAGGGAAUCUUCGGCAAUGGGGGCAACCCUGACCGAGCUACGCCGCGUGAGUGAAGAAAGGUUUUCGGAUCGUAAAGCUCUGUUGUUAGAGAAGAAUGAUGGUGGGAGUGGAAAAUCCACCAAGUGACGGUAACUAACCAGAAAGGGACGGCUAACUACGUGCCAGCAGCCGCGGUUAUACGUAGGUCCCGAGCGUUGUCCGGAUUUACUGGGCGUAAAGCGAGCGCAGGCGGUUUUUUAAGUCUGAAGUUAAAGGCAUUGGCUCAACCAAUGUACGCUUUGGAUACUGGAGAACUUGAGUGCAGAAGGGGAGAGUGGAAUUCCAUGUGUAGCGGUGAAAUGCGUAGAUAUAUGGAGGAACACCGGUGGC